AUUGAACGCUGGCGGCAGGCCUAACACAUGCAAGUCGAACGGCAGCGGGGGAUAGCUUGCUAUCCUGCCGGCGAGUGGCGGACGGGUGAGUAAUGCAUGGGGAGCUGCCCAAUCGAGGGGGAUAACAACUGGAAACGGUUGCUAAUACCGCAUACGCCCUGCGGGGGAAAGGUGGGGACCUUCGGGCCUACCGCGAUUGGAUGCACCCAUGUGGGAUUAGAUGGUUGGUGAGGUAACGGCUCACCAAGGAGACGAUGUCUAGCUGGUCUGAGAGGAUGACCAGCCACACUGGAACUGAGACACGGUCCAGACUCCUACCGGAGGCAGCAGUGGGGAAUAUUGCACAAUGGGGGAAACCCUGAUGCAGCCAUGCCGCGUGUGUGAAGAAGGCCUUCGGGUUGUAAAGCACUUUCAGUGGGGAGGAAGGGGAGUAAGCUAAUAACUUGCUUCAUUGACGUUACCCACAGAAGAAGCACCGGCUAACUCCGUUCCAGCAGCCGCCGUAAUAC
rnacentral:rRNA from 1 species